rnacentral:rRNA from 1 species
UACGUAGGGUGCAAGCGUUGUCCGGAAUCAUUGGGCGUAAAGAGCUCGUAGGCGGCUCAGUAAGUCGGGUGUGAAACCCUCAGGCUCAACCUGGGGACGCCACCCGAUACUGCUGUGGCUAGAGUCCAGUAGGGGAGUGUGGAAUUCCCGGUGUAGCGGUGAAAUGCGCAGAUAGUCGGGAAGGAACACCAGCGGCGAAGGCGGCACUCUGGGCUGG